rnacentral:rRNA from 1 species
GAUGAACGCUGGCGGCGUGCCUAAUACAUGCAAGUCGAGCGAACAGACGAGGAUCUUGCUCCUCUGACGUUAGCGGCGGACGUGUGAGUAACACGUGGAUAACCUACCUAUAAGACUGGGUUAACUUCGGGAAACCGGAGCUAAUACCGGAGCAUAUAUUGAACCGCAUGGUUCAAUAGUGAAAGACGGUUUUGCUGUCACUUAUAGAUGGAUCCGCGCCGCAUUAGCUAGGUGGUAAGGUAACGGCUUACCAAGGCAACGAUGCGUAGCCGUACUGAGAGGGUGAUCGGCCACACUGGAACUGAGACACGGCCCAGACUCCUACGGGAGGCAGCAGUAGGGAAUCUUCCGCAAUGGGCGAAAGCCUGACGGAGCAACGCCGCGUGAGUGAUGAAGGUCUUCGGAUCGUAAAACUCUGUUAUUAGGGAAGAACAAAUGUGUAAGUAACUAUGCACGUCUUGACGGUACCUAAUCAGAAAGCCACGGCUAACUACGUG